CUCCCUUGUCUUUUCUGCCAUGUGAUGUUACAGCAAAAAGACUGCCACCCAUGGAGAAACAGGCCCCCCGAUCCAUCAGAUCUGCCAGUGCCUUGAUUUUGGACUUCUCAGCCCGCAAAACUGUGAGAAGUGUCAACCAAUUUUUCACUGGAUUUUCAACCCAUAAAAAGAAGCUGUAAAUUUCAGAAAAACGAGAGUGUAAUUUCAAGACAAAUACAUCACAAAAGUAUGAAUAAGAAAGAAAUGUGUUGUUUCAGCUAGGCAGGUAUUCCUGUUAAUUUAUGGAGCCGUUUGUCCUGCUUGUAAAAUUCCAUUUUUUAUGGAAUAGAGAAUUAUUGCUGCUGUAAGAUGUAACAAAAUGGCUAAAUGCCUGAGGGAAAUACAAUAAGGACAUUUGGGUUAGGAAUAUAAUAAUAUUCAAAAUAUUUCACUGGGAAGUUAGAAAAAGUUAUCCCAGUUUUCUUUUAAUAAAUUGAAGCAGAAUGCUAAUUUAAAGCUAAAUAAAUAUAACAAUCUGAAUGCUGCCAUGCACACCAAUAUAAUUUAUUUAAAAGAUUUGCCAAAUGUAUAUAACAAUGAUUAAAACCAUUAAUGUAUGUAUG
rnacentral:lncRNA from 10 species